rnacentral:sRNA from 1 species
UAAACUUGGUUUGAAAGGUAUCCAAAUAUAUCUUGUGAGUUGCUCACUUCCGAUGUCUCCCAGAUGAAUGAUAGACUGGGAGAAGAUGAAUCCUUGCUAAUGAAAUUAUAUAGCUUCCUCCUAAACGAUUCCCCUUUGAAUCCACUACUUGCCAGUUUCUUCAGCAAGGUGCUAAGUAUUCUUAUCAGCAGAAAACCAGAACAGAUUGUGGAUUUCUUAAAGAAGAAGCAUGAUUUUGUAGACCUUAUUAUAAAGCACAUAGGAACUUCUGCUAUCAUGGAUUUGUUGCUCAGGCUCCUGACGUGUAUUGAACCUCCACAGCCCAGGCAAGAUGUGCUGAAUUGUUCAAAGUCCAGAGAAACCUGUAACAUUCUACUUAAAAUGUGAUGGAUAUUUCCAAGUAUGUUAAUCUACAUUGGGGCUUGAACAAGAGCCACUCAUUGCUAUGAUUACUUCUACAAUGUGUUUUACAGUGGUUAAAUGAGGAGAAAAUUAUCCAGAGGCUUGUGGAAAUAGUUCAUCCAUCGCAAGAAGAAGAUGUAAGUUCACUUGUGUGACUGUAAACGUGAUUAG